UAUAUAAAGUGUGUGUUUGCCAAUAUAUAUAUAUAUAUAGGCACACAUACAUAUAUAUACACACACACGUAUAAACUGUGAAACGAUACACAAGAAACAGUGAUUAUUGGAGUGGUUG
rnacentral:miRNA from 1 species